CACCGCUCAUCAGGCCAUGCUGAGGCAGCAUCCCACACAGCAGAGCCAGAAGGACCUACAACUAGAAUAUACAACUAUGUACUGAGGGCCUUUGGAGAGAAGAAGAAGGAAAAAAAAAAAAGAAGAUUGGCAAGAGAUGUUAGCUCAGGUGCCAAUCUUUUUAAAAAAAAAAAAUCCAAACUUAAUAGGAGAUCAGAAUUGGGAAAAAAAAAUCCAAAAGGGCUGGUGUUGUAAGCCUGAAUUCUGUGUUUGCAACAUCUUUUCUCCAUUGCAGAAUGGAGUGUGAUGCCUUGAGAAAGUGUCAGGGACUCCAGAUUAAAUGCUUUGAUCGUGUUCCUAAGUCUCUAAACAGCUUUGAAGGGUUUGUUCUCCAGAGGGGUCCGAAGUUCGGCGCACUCCUGCCUACCAGCGCCACAGCUGUCAGCACACAGGGGCCGGCGGCCAGCCCUCCUGGGAACAAUCCUGGUUACGGAAUUCCUUGCGUAGGAGAAAAACAAUAACUUCCAGUUGAACAAGAGCUAAAAGAAGGGAAGAUGUGACGGCAGCUCCAUUGAACAAUUUCUCUAAGUACAGACAGGCACCGCUUUCCACCCUCUGGUCACGUUCCACCUCCCAUUCUCAGGAAUUCUCUGCUACUGUCCAGAGAAAGAGAAACACUUCAGAAGAAUUCUGGGUGAGCUUUCCAGGCUGAGGACAGAGCAGAAGCAAAAGCGUGGAGAUCCAGUGGAGUGUGUUCUUGGAUGACAAGAACACAGGAAGAGCGUGAAGAGUGCGUGGAUUAUCACAGUGGAAGGUGGAAUGAAAUUAAUUGAUAGAAGACAGGGGUUUAGGUUCCUGUACCAUUACAUACCUCAAACUUCAGGAAAGGAAGAAGCCAGGAACAGCAAUGUUUUAUACACUGUAGACAGAAGGGACAGCAAAGAGUGGCCCCUCAGGCAUCAGGGGCUCCACGUCAUCACAGAGACCAUAGAUAUAAAGUUCUCCAAGAAGCAGACACCAAGGUGUGAUUAAACAUGCAAGGAUUUUGAUUAAGGGAAAUGGCCGUGAGAGAAAAUGUGGAGGAAGCCAGGGGAGACUGGAGGAGCCAUCAGACCAUGAUGCGGUGUGGCCCAGAGUGAAAGAGAGCAGAAAGGAAGGUGCCAAUAUUCAUCAUUUAUCUGAAAUUCAAAUUCAACUAGGCAUCCUGUAUUUUAACACUUGAACUGGCAACUCUAGCCUUCACUGUCAACUGUAAGAAUAUCUUGGGAAUCUUGGUGAACUUCAGCUGAACUGUUCUCUCCUUUGUAUACAUCUGUGUGUGUGUAUGUAUGGAGAGAGGAAAAGUGAGAGCAAGAGAAAAUAGUGGGAAAUAAGCCUGGAAAGGAAGAAGGAGCUGGUUCACCAAGAAUUUAAACCCAGUGAGGACAACCCAGGAUC
rnacentral:lncRNA from 1 species